rnacentral:rRNA from 1 species
AGUGAACGCUGGCGGUAGGCCUAACACAUGCAAGUCGAACGGCAGCACAGUAAGAGCUUGCUCUUACGGGUGGCGAGUGGCGGACGGGUGAGGAAUACAUCGGAAUCUACUUUUUCGUGGGGGAUAACGUAGGGAAACUUACGCUAAUACCGCAUACGACCUACGGGUGAAAGCAGGGGAUCUUCGGACCUUGCGCGAUUGAAUGAGCCGAUGUCGAAUUAGCUAGUUGGCGGGGUAAAGGCCCACCAAGGCGACGAUCCGUAGCUGGUCUGAGAGGAUGAUCAGCCACACUGGAACUGAGGCACGGUCCAGACUCCUACGGGAGGCAGCAGUGGGGAAUAUUGGACAAUGGGCGCAAGCCUGAUCCAGCCAUACCGCGUGGGUGAAGAAGGCCUUCGGGUUGUAAAGCCCUUUUGUUGGGAAAGAAAAGCAGCAGGUUAAUACCCCGCUGUUCUGACGGUACCCAAAGAAUAAGCACCGGCUAACUUCGUG